AGAGUUUGAUCCUGGCUCAGGAUGAACGCUAGCUACAGGCUUAACACAUGCAAGUCGAGGGGAAACGACAUCGAAAGCUUGCUUUUGAUGGGCGUCGACCGGCGCACGGGUGAGUAACGCGUAUCCAACCUGCCCAUCACUUGGGGAUAACCUUGCGAAAGUAAGACUAAUACCCAAUGACGUCUCUAGAAGACAUCUGAAAGAGAUUAAAGAUUUAUCGGUGAUGGAUGGGGAUGCGUCUGAUUAGCUUGUUGGCGGGGUAACGCCACCAAGGCGACGAUCAGUAGGGGUUCUGAGAGGAACGGUCCCCCANAUUGGAACUGAGACACGGUCCAAAAUCCUACGGGAGCA
rnacentral:rRNA from 1 species